GGACUACUGGGGUAUCUAAUCCUGUUUGCUCCCCACGCUUUCGUGUCUUAGCGUCAGUACUGUCCCAGAUGGCCGCCUUCGCCACCGGUGUUCCUCCUAAUAUCUACGCAUUUCACCGCUACACUAGGAAUUCCACCAUCCUCUAACAGACUCUAGCCCUCUAGUACCAAAGGCAAUUCCGGAGUUAAGCUCCGGCAUUUCACCCCUGGCUGUGAGGACCGCCUACACACGCUUUACGCCCAGUGAUUCCGAACAACGCUAGCACCCUUCGUAUUACCGCGGCGGCUGGCAC
rnacentral:rRNA from 1 species